CAGAACAUUGGCACUCAUCGGCAUCUACAACAUCUAAGGAUUUCACUAAUGAGGUUGACAUUUCUGGAUGAUUUUCUACCUGUACAAACUUACCUGUGUAUCAACCAUGAAGAUUAUUAUCAAUCCAAGGAUCAAAGAAGAAAAAAAGGGACAUAGCAAAAUUGACUUUAGAGAGCUGGACCAUGAUCUACAAAAAUGAUCACAGUUAGG